CGCCGAGCCUCGGGCGCGCGUGGCGCCGCCUCCCAGACGCCUAACGACGAUGAGCCAAGACGCGGGGGUCGCGGAGAGCAGUGAUGAUCACAAUGCCUCUUCAGAAGAAAAAGAUUGCCCCAGCUCCAACCUAGAUACUUCAGGGGACUCUAAAUCAGGUAAGAGAUAUGAUUAACAUUGGUAAAUGUCCAAAUGAAAUUUUUAUGAAAUAACCAAUUCAUCACAAGAUAAAUAACAAUUUAUUCUUCUGUUUUACUUCAAGCAAUCUUCAUGAAAGAUAGGAGCUUUCAUCUUUCUACUUGAAAGAACUGAUUAAGUUUUAAACUUUCAUGGUUACCUAGCCUAGUGAAAUCAGUAACUUAAACUUCAGUGAUGAAGCUGUACUUAAUGAAACUGAGAAUUUAUCUGAUGAGGCAACUGGACCAUUUUCUAGAUUGGUUUCGCUAACCUAAUACAGGGUCCUGUACGAGUCCAGCCAGGUGGUGGAUACUUGGCUGGGGUAGUCCUGGGAGAUUUUCCUGAGGAGGUGAUGGUUGACUUGAACUCUGAAGGAUGCAUUGCAGUAACAGGGCAAAGGUGGGGACAAGGGUUAUAUACUUGCAGGUGUAAAUGUCCCCAUGUGGGGAAGUGCACAGUGCUUGUUUGCAGAGACUGAAGAAGGUCAGAUGACUGGAAUCAGCGAGGAGAGAGGUGGCAGGGCCAAAGUGCGUCUGUAGAGCAGGUGGGGCUAGAUUGCAUAGGACCUUUGGAUUACAAAAUCUUUACUCCAGAGUGGAUGUACAAAUGACCAAUAAGUACUUGAAAGAUGCUCAGUAUUAUUUCAGGGAAAUACAAUUCAAACCCACAGAAAGAUGCCACUUCCCAGCCACUGGGGUGACAUGAAAAAGAUAAUAGCAAGAAUUGUCAAGGAUGCGGAGAAAUUGGAAGCCUCAUACACUGCUGAUAGAG